AUCGUCCCAAAUAGGACGAAACGCGCGUCCUGGAU
rfam:Schistosoma mansoni, Puerto Rico, WGS project CABG01000000 data, contig: 0309